AUUGAACGCUGGCGGCAUGCCUUACACAUGCAAGUCGAACGGCAGCGCGGGGCAACCUGGCGGCGAGUGGCGAACGGGUGAGUAACAUAUCGGAACAUACCCUAGAGUGGGGGAUAACGUAGCGAAAGUUACGCUAAUACCGCAUACGCACUAAGGUGGAAAGUGGGGGAUUCGCAAGAACCUCAUGCUCAUGGAGUGGCCGAUAUCUGAUUAGCUAGUUGGUGAGGUAAAGGCUCACCAAGGCGACGAUCAGUAGCUGGUCUGAGAGAACGACCAGCCACACUGGAACUGAGACACGGUCCAGACUCCUACGGGAGGCAGCAGUGGGGAAUUUUGGACAAUGGGGGCAACCCUGAUCCAGCAAUGCCGCGUGAGUGAAGAAGGCCUC
rnacentral:rRNA from 1 species